AAUCCACCCACCUUGGCCUCUCAGAAUGCUGGGAUUACAGGCGUGAGCCACUGUACCUGACCAGCAUUUGCACAUUUUAGAGGUGACUGUUCUGGGUGACAAAUCCCUCCCCAGGGACCACAACAUCAGUUUGACAUGUAAAAUGGGGAAAUGGAACUUAGCCCGUUUAAUCGACAUUUGCUCACAAGUUGCCUGUUUCACCAGGAUGACUGCAUGAAGGAACAUGGAGUUAGGAGGUUGCUGGGUUCGAUCAGCUAAUGCUUCUAAAUGGAAAGAAGUUUCAAUGGGGUGAGAGUCAUGGGGUGGUGACAUGGACUAAACUAAGCCCCUCCUGGGGGCAAACUAAGCCCCUCCUGGGGGCCAGGAUAACUGGGAAUGUUUGUCAGUGACAGCACAUCUAUGACCACGGCCAGGAUGGAGGCCCACAGGGAGAGUGGGGAGAACGGACGUGGCGAGGCGUGAAGGCUGACCUCAGAAACUCACUGGAUGAGCUGUGGCUCCUUUUGCUGGGAAAGAAAACACAAGCGAGAUUAGAAAAUGGCAGUGAGUUGCAGGUCAAAAAGGAGAUGAAGGUGAGAUCAGGAUGUCAACACAGGAAGGAAGAAUGUGCCCUCAGCAGACCCCACAGGGGCAAUGCUGCAUAGACAACAGAGCCAAAAGUGCGGAAGAUAUACUGAGUAACAAAAUUGAAUUUUAGAAAAUACUGAGAUAAAUUAGAACAUUGUGCUCAGUCUGUCAGCAUUCAAUUUAUUAAAGACAAAAUGUAAGUUCUUGGUUUAAGUUCACAAAACAAGCAGUGCAAGUAUGGAGCACAGCACGUCAAAGGAAAACUUUUUAUUUGUUUUCGGUAAACUCCAUUUGAAUCAAGACAAUGACCGUGCCCCACACUGUCUCCCCUUGACCACUGUGUGUUCAGGCAACCAGGAUGAUGGAGGGACUGGCUCUUUCUGGUGUCUGAGGAAUCUUGGAAGGCCUGGGAACAUUUAGCCUGGAGAAGAGGAGAAUUCACAGAAUGGUGGCUGCUGUCACAAGUCUGAAGAGCGGUCAGCAAGAGGAGGGAUUGGUAUCAGGACCGGCAGAGGAAGAGACCCACUUCCACCCAGUCUAACAAACAACCUCCUGGAGAAACAGCUACACAGGUGGUCAGGAGCGCAGGCUUCAAAGUGAGACAAACCUGGGCUUACAUGCCCCCUCCACCUUCUAACCUCUGAACAUGAGUCCCCCCCGCGUGUGAAAGAUGAAGAUGCAGCAGCUCCCUCAGAGUUCCCAAAGCCUUUGAUGAGAGGUGCACUACGGGGGGCUCAGCAAAUGCCAGACGAAGUCGGUGCCAGACUGUCAGCUGCUGUGAGCUUAUGAUCUCCCUUCAGCAGAGCUGCCCAGGAAGCCGUACCUGUUCCAGAAGAGCCUUCCAAAGUUGAGGCUCUCCAUUUCCAGUUAAGUUAAUUUAGGAAGACUGCACAAGUGAAAACACCACAUGUAGCUAUUUGCGUUAUUAAUAAGAACAUGUUGACUUCAGUUGUUGACUGCCAGGUGGAUUUUUGCCUCAUAAAUAUUUUUGAAUGGAUUAUAACUGAAAUCUUGGGGUUCAGUCAGAAGACAACCAUCUACAUUUUUUCUGUAUUUCUUCUGGGGGCAUGAUUUGAUCCAGGGUGUGGCCAAAUCUACGUCACUGAAUCGUUCUACCGAGCUCCCCGGCUGUUACUGGGGAUGUUAAUUCAACAUUUUCAUGGUUUUCCGUUUUUAUGGUCAUUUGUGUAAAAUGGGGCCCAAGUGUUUGUCUUUUCCACUUGAAAAACUCAUCAUUGGUUCGUGGUAACUAAGUCAUUUAUGCUUCAAAGAAUGAUGCUGAGAAAGAAAAAAACUGUGACCACAGUCAAGGAUAUUAAUGAAUGGGCACGAACUUAGCCCAUGUGCAUACUGAAGUAUGGAGGGCGGGAGAAACAGUGACUCGCUGUUCCGCAGGGGCUGUUGGCUUACUCUCCAAUGUGGUGGUGGUGGUGUUUCUUUGUUUGUUUUUAACAUUUUUGGGUUUAGUACUUUAUAAUGCAUAUUUUGAAUUCAAAAAUGAAUUAUAGAGUGGCUAUGUCAGAGGAACUGAGGGUCUUUGGGCUUUUUUUUUUUUUUUAAGAAUUGCAGACUCAACUCUGAAAUUGCUGCUUACAUAUUUCCUUCAGAAAUAAUGAGCUCCCGUGACAGUGACUUUGAAUGUGUCUUUAACACACUUGACUUAAUAAGAUCCCUUUUCUGGAGCAUAUAGAAUGUUCCCCAGAGAUGGAAUGUCACCAUUAGGGUGUCUAAUGUCCUAAAAGGGCUAAUUAUUUCCCCUAAAACAUUACAACAAACUCAUUACUGUAAGGACAACCCCAUGAACUCUUUAAAAAAUGAAGAAAAUGACAGCACCGAGAAGGUAAUUUGUCCUACUCUCUGGGGUAAUAAAUGACAUUCAGAGUUAGAAUCCUUUGACAAUCAAAUAUUUUUUAAAACUUUUUUUUUUACUACACUUUCAGUUCUGGGAUACAUGUGCAGAACGUGCAGGUU